AGGGGGUCAAAUCGAACGAAGGGCCGGCUGAUGAAAGGGAUUGUUGUUGGUUUUGGGUUUGGAUCAAGGGAGAAAUCGGACAGAUGCAAGAUGGUGCUGGGCUAGUCGAGGGGGGGAGUGCAGCUGGUAGAGGUGGCGGCGGUGCAGCGUUGUCACAACAGCGGUGGCAGAGAGGAUGGCGGAGGGGCCGGAGAUGGCGGUAGAAGAGUGGUUGCUGC
rnacentral:lncRNA from 1 species